rnacentral:rRNA from 1 species
ACGCUCGACACCUACGGGGGCAGCAGUAGGGAAUCUUCCACAAUGGACGCAAGUCUGAUGGAGCAACGCCGCGUGAGUGAAGAAGGUUUUCGGAUCGUAAAGCUCUGUUGUUGGUGAAGAAGGAUAGAGGUAGUAACUGGCCUUUAUUUGACGGUAAUCAACCAGAAAGUCACGGCUAACUACGUGCCAGCAGCAGCGGUAAUCUGAGCGGGCUGGCAAGGC